CCUACGGGGGGCAGCAGUGAGGAAUAUUGGUCAAUGGGCGGGAGCCUGAACCAGCCAAGCCGCGUGAAGGAAGAAGGCGCCAGGCGUCGUAAACUUCUUUUGUCGGGGAACAAAGGGCGCCACGCGUGGCGUUGUGAGUGUACCCGAAGAAAAAGCAUCGGCUAACUCCGUGCCAGCAGCCGCGGUAAUACGGAGGAUGCGAGCGUUAUCCGGAUUUAUUGGGUUUAAAGGGUGCGUAGGCGGUCCGGAAAGUCAGCGGUAAAAGCCCGGGGCUCAACCCCGGCGAGCCGUUGAAACUGUCGGAC
rnacentral:rRNA from 1 species